UACGUAGGGGGCAAGCGUUGUCCGGAUUUAUUGGGCGUAAAGCGCUCGCAGGUGGUUCGUCGCGUCGUGCGUGAAAGACCCCGGCUCAACUGGGGGGCGUCGUGCGAAACGGGCGGACUGGAGGCCAGUAGGGGGAUGCGGAAUUCCGGGUGUAGUGGUGGAAUGCGUAGAGAUCCGGAGGAACACCAGCGGCGAAGGCGGCAUCCUGGACUGGUCCUGACACUCAUGAGCGAAAGCGUGGGGAGCGAGCCGG
rnacentral:rRNA from 1 species